AGGAACUGUGAAACCAUUCAGAAAAGUUGUUUCCUCCAGUCAGAGGUUGAGGUUCAGUGGCUCACUUUCUCCCAAAAGUAAACUGGUGAGAAAAUAGGACCUCAAGGAUGCUAGUGAUUUCUCCAGGUAACAUGAGUGGGAGACGGUCAGCAUCACUGGAAACCUGGCCUUCCAUUUCCAAGAUCUGCACAAGAGGAAGGUGGAGCUUCAGGAUAGAUGAUUCUGCUAUCAUGCAGCGACUUUACCACUGAGCUUUUCCAGAUUGAAAAGGAAGAAAGAAACUUGCUUGCUGUCACUCCCCACAGGCGCCCGUGCUCCAAGACAGCUGUCUUUUGGCCAGCCUCCUGGGCUGCAAGAGUGUGGCGCCAAUGAAUCAAUGUGUCAUCCACAGGGGUGGAAGCAAGUUCCCUGACAGGGAUGGGAGUGUUCUCUCUCACGGCCGCCUGUGAUCAAAAGGAAGGCUGGCAGCCUCUUGACCUUGUAUUUGAUUAUGACUGAAGGCAAUGGCUUAUACCAAUCUGGUAUGUUCUGAGUCAGUUACUCUGCCUGGCUAGCCUCAGUUUCUUCUGUGCAAUGAGAAGAUGGCAGCAUAUUAUUUCCCAAAGUCUCUGUUCGCUAUCCUUUGCAAUUAGAGGCUGAUUUCAUACGAAUUUCCCAACUUGCUCUUUUUUUUCCCCGAAACCCUCAACCAAGCAGGCCUCCAAUGCAAUAUAAGUGCACAUGGACAGUGAUUGCUUCUCCUCUUGACAUGGAUGAAACACCUGAGAAGGUCAUGUUUCCUCAUUUGUUUCCCUUUGGAUGCUCUACAAGUGUCUUCACCUUCUCUCUGUGUUGAAAAACACUGUUCUGUUGACUGGUUUCCAGGUGAAUAAAUGGGACAAGAAACGCUGCUCAUUACUGUAUAGCCCAUGAGCCUGAAUCUGGAGACUGAUCUCUUUAUCACUGUACCCCAGAGGUAAGGCUGAUGUCCAUUCAUGUGAGUGGAGGAGCUUUUUUUUUUUUAACAUUCAUAUUGGGAUGGAGAGAUAGCUCAACUGUUAGGAGGGUUGGCUAAUCUUCCUUGGGACCUGGGUCCAUUUCCCAGCAACCACAUGGCAGCUUACAACUGUCUGUAACUCAAGUUCCACAGGGUCUGAUGCCCUUUUCUGGUCUCUGUGGGCACCAGGCACAUGUGUGGUGCAUAGACAUGCAUGAGAUAAAACACCCAUAAGCAUAAAAUAAAAAAAAUAGAGGGGAAAAAUCGAAAAUACUCAUGUCCAAUGCUAGAUCCUGAUCUCCUAAAGGGAGGUGGAUCUGGGCACUGAUAUUUCUUUAGGCUCCCUGAGUAACUUCAGUGUGUGCUAGCACUGGGUAAUAAAGAGGAGGGGUGGGGGCUGCUACUACAAUGCUGUUCUCAUCCAGGAAGUCAUUGCCAAGCCCUGCAAUCAGAUGGUGGCUUCUCUCAGAAAAGACAAGAAGGAAGAUAAGGGCAAGACAGAAUCAGGGCUGCUUGACACAGAUCUGUCCACUGUCACUUCGAGGUCCCCUCCAACAGGACCUUGAAAACGUACAACACCCUCGAAACACCAGAUUAGUAUCUCCAUUUUAGAGUUUAAAUAAACAACUUGCCUAUGUGGUUAAAAAAAAAUGGGCAUAUGUUACACAACUGCUAACAAAUAGAGGAGUUUAGGCUUGAAUUGGGUUAUUGGACUUCCAUGUCAAUUCCCAUACAUCUGAAACCCAGUAUGACAGACUGCAAAGAGAAUGCACUUCAGUUAGCAUUUGCAUGAUGUUGAAUGAGGCACUUGAGGCUAAAGAGAUGAUACCACUGGCCUUGCUCAAUGUGCCAGCUGUGGUGGGACAGCAGCAGGAGAGGGAAGAGUAAGAAGGAUAUGAUGUCUUGGCUCUUAGGAAGUUAGUUGAGAAGAGCUACCCCAUUUUGUUCAAGUUCACCUGGUUUCCCCAAGCAGAAACCAUAACAGAUUUAGGGCAGAAAAAACAAAACAAAACAAAACAAAACAAAAAACCAA